rnacentral:rRNA from 1 species
GAUGAAGCCCACUUGUGGGUGGAUUAGUGGCGAACGGGUGAGUAACACGUGAGUAACCUGCCCUUGACUCUGGGAUAAGCCUGGGAAACUGGGUCUAAUACCGGAUAUGACUCCUCAUCGCAUGGUGGGGGGUGGAAAGCUUUUUGUGGUUUUGGAUGGACUCGCGGCCUAUCAGCUUGUUGGUGAGGUAAUGGCUUACCAAGGCGACGACGGGUAGCCGGCCUGAGAGGGUGACCGGCCACACUGGGACUGAGACACGGCCCAGACUCCUACGGGAGGCAGCAGUGGGGAAUAUUGCACAAUGGGCGCAAGCCUGAUGCAGCGACGCCGCGUGAGGGAUGACGGCCUUCGGGUUGUAAACCUCUUUCAGUAGGGAAGAAGCCUUUCGGGGUGACGGUACCUGCAGAAGAAGCGCCGGCUAACUACGUGCCAGCAGCCGCGGUAAUACGUAGGGCGCAAGCGUUAUCCGGAAUUAUUGGGCGUAAAGAGCUCGUAGGCGGUUUGUCGCGUCUGCCGUGAAAGUCCGGGGCUCAACUCCGGAUCUGCGGUGGGUACGGGCAGACUAGAGUGAUGUAGGGGAGACUGGAAUUCCUGGUGUAGCGGUGAAAUGCGCAGAUAUCAGGAGGAACACCGAUGGCGAAGGCAGGUCUCUGGGCAUUAACUGACGCUGAGGAGCGAAAGCAUGGGGAGCGAACAGGAUUAGAUACCCU